AACCUCCGCAAUGUACGAAAGUGCGACGGGGGGAUCCCAAGUGUUAUGCUUUUUUGUAUAACUUUUCAUUAGUGUAAAAAGCUUUUAGAAUAAGGGCUGGGCAAGACCGGUGCCAGCCGCCGCGGUAACACCGGCAGCUCUAGUGGUAGCAGUUUUUAUUGGGCCUAAAGCGUCCGUAGCCGGUUUAAUAAGUCUCUGGUGAAAUCCUGUAGCUUAACUGUGGGAAUUGCUGGAGAUACUAUUAGACUUGAGACCGGGAGAGGUUAGAGGUACUCCCAGGGUAGAGGUGAAAUUCUGUAAUCCUGGGAGGACCGCCUGUUGCGAAGGCGUCUAACUGGAACGGUUCUGACGGUGAGGGACGAAAGUUAGGGGCGCGAACCGGAUUAGAUACCCGGGUAGUCCUAACUGUAAACGAUGCGGACUUGGUGUUGGGGUGGCUUUGAGCUGUUCCAGUGCCGAAGGGAAGCUGUUAAGUCCGCCGCCUGGGAAGUACGGUCGCAAGACUGAAACUUAAAGGAAUU
rnacentral:rRNA from 1 species